UUUGCCCCUAGAUGGCUUUGCAAUGGCGGCUGCAUGAUGCAGCCGCCAUUGCAAAGCCAUCUAGAGGCAAAGCCCAGAAACUCCACU